rnacentral:tRNA from 1 species
CGGGGCGUAGCGCAGCCGGGGUAGCGCAACUGGUUUGGGACCAGUGGGUCGGGAGUUCAAAAUCUCUCCGCCCCGACCA